rnacentral:rRNA from 1 species
UACGUAGGGGGCAAGCGUUGUCCGGAUUUAUUGGGCGUAAAGAGCGUGUAGGCGGCCUGACAGGUCUGCUGUGAAACUCGAGGCUCAACCUCGAGAUGUCGGCGGAAACCGUCUGGCUAGAGUCCGGAAGAGGAGAGUGGAAUCCUGGUGUAGCGGUGAAAUGCGCAGAUAUCAGGAAGAACACCUAUGGCGAAGGCAGCUCUCUGGGACGGUACUGACGCUGAGACGCGAAAGCGUGGGGAGCGAACAGG